AAGAGAAACUAACCAGGAUUCCCCUAGUAACUGCGAGUGAAGCGGGAUGAGCUCAAAUUUAAAAUCUGGCGGUCCUUGUGGCCGUCCGAGUUGUAGUCUGGAGAAGUGUUAUCCGCGUCGGACCGUGUACAAGUCUCCUGGAAUGGAGCGUCAUAGAGGGUGAGAAUCCCGUCCAUGACACGGACGCCCGAUGCUUUGUGAGGCACUCUCGAAGAGUCGAGUUGUUUGGGAAUGCAGCUCAAAAUGGGUGGUAAAUUCCAUCUAAAGCUAAAUAUUGGCGAGAGACCGAUAGCGAACAAGUACCGUGAGGGAAAGAUGAAAAGCACUUUGGAAAGAGAGUUAAAUAGUACGUGAAAUUGUUGAAAGGGAAACGCUUGAAGUCAGUCGCGUCCCGUGGAACUCAGCCUGGCUUCGGCCUGGUGUACUUUCUAUGCGGACGGGUCAACAUCAGUUUUGGCCGGCGGAAAAGGGCAGAGGGAAUGUAGCGCCGCUUCGGUGGCGUGUUAUAGCCCUCUGUCAAAUACGCUGGCGGGGACUGAGGACUGCAGCACGCCCUUGUGGCCGGGGGUUCGCCCCACGUAACGUGCUUAGGAUGUUGGCAUAAUGGCUUA
rnacentral:rRNA from 1 species